rnacentral:rRNA from 1 species
GCUUUACUGUAGCCUGGUAUUGGGUUCGGGCUUGACUUGCGCAGGAUAGGUGGGAGGCUAAGAGAUUGUCCUUGUGGGGACAAAGGAGCCGCCAGUGAGAUACCACUCUAGUCAGGCUAGAAUUCUAACCGCUUGCCAUCAUCUGGCAGUGGAACCGUAUCAGGUGGGCAGUUUGACUGGGGCGGUCGCCUCCUAAACGGUAACGGAGGCGCACAAAGGUUUCCUCAGGCUGGUUGGAAAUCAGCCGGAGAGUGUAAAGGCACAAGGAAGCUUGACUGCAAGAGGGACAACUCAAGCAGGGUGGAAACACGGUCUUAGUGAUCCGACGGCGCUGAGUGGAAGGGCCGUCGCUCAACGGAUAAAAGUUACUCUAGG